UACUUAGUUUCAACAAGCCAGUCUUCCUUAAGGAUGUCUGCUCAGUACACAGCUCUCACUCUCUCCACUGACAGCUGGUUUGGGAAAGAAGGGAGAAAGAUUGAUAGAUAGUGGUGACGGAUGAAGCCCAGAGGAGGACUGAAAGACUUAGCAAGAGGCAUCCGUAAACGAAUACUCAGGCCAAAAUUCAAUCAGCAGGCCUAAAGCAAGACUUUUCAACUAUGAUGUCAGGUUCAUAGGUGGAGUUUCCGUUCACAAUGAAGGGAGCCCAGGCAUAUGAUAGAUGCCCUAUCCCAGGCAUCAUGGCAGGAUACACCCUGGACAGAGCGCCAACCCUACCAUGCAUGUCUUUGGACUGGGGGAGGAAACCGGAGUACCCGGAGGAAACCUGCAAACUCCACACACACAAGGCGGAGGCGGGAAUCGAACCCCGACCCUGGAGGUUGGCACCCUGUCCAGUGUGACCCUCGUCUUGUGCCUCGAGUCCCCUGGGAUCAACUGUGAGCCUGUGUAGGAUAACUAAAAUGGAUGGAUAGAUAGAUAGAUAGAUAGAUAGAUAGAUAGAUAGAUAGAUAGAUAGAUAGAUAGAUAGAUAGAUAGAUAGAUAGAUAGAUAGAUAGAUAGAUAGAUAGAUAGAUUAGCUAGUUAGUUUCAUUAUUUUCAUUGUACAAUCUUUAUAAACCUUAUAAAGCAGCACUUUAAUGGAAACACAUUAAAUACAUUUUUAUUUUAGUUUUUUCUAAAAAUCUUUUAGGGUCUACUGUAUAUUUAUAACCUAUUCCUAGCUCUAAUUGACAGGAUUUAACAGCAAUUUCCAAAACUGUUCCAACAUGAAAAAAUAUUGACUGGUGAGUUGGUAUUGUUUUCAUUUUAUUUGUACUAUCAAUUUUUCAUCCUGUUCACCUGUUGUCCCUUUCGCCUCGGAUAUGAUUACCAUUUUCACUAUGAUUAGAGAUUAGAGUUAAAACCCUGGUGUUUCAGACGUGAGCCAGACUUUCUUCUUUGAAUGUCUGCACUUAAAGUAGUGCUUUAAUAAUCCGAAAGUGUGGCAUGUGUUUCAGACUCAAUGUGUGGUCUUCUCCACAGGGUACACCAUAAGAAAUCCCACACUGAACCGAACCUUGGAAACCCUCUAAAGACUCUCCAAUCCAAUCACCAACUCUGCCACCUAAAAAAAACCUUUCCAGUGUGUUUAACUUCAAAUGAGAACAAAAAGUUUUAAGUCCUAUUUCAGACUCUGAAUAAAAGCCAUUGAGGGACUCGGCAAAUAAGAGCGAAUGGACUUUUUUUUACUGUUUGAUGUCACAGUGGAAAGACAAAAACUGUCACAUUUCCCUCUCUGUUCCCUCUAGAACGCAAAUGGCUUUUUCAUGAGGCUAAUAGGAAAGUACGUGUUAUUAUGUCCUGCCCCUUGACACCCUGAUUAUGAAACGGCACAAUGUGAAGAACGGCAGGGGUGCGAGCCCAGGAAGAAAUGAGCAGCAGAGGAGCACGGCCGAUUCGUUUAGAACAGAAUGCCGUCUUCAAUUCAUUACUCACACGCAGCAAUAUUCACCUCAUUAAACUAAAAUAAAGCGAGAGAAUACGCCAUUUUGCUGCCACUCUUUGCCUCAUCACGGAUGCCUUGGGGUAAGCUCAACAGCCUGUUUUCCUGCAGCAUCCCUCCUCUCUCAUGCUUCAUCAGUCUGGAGGAAAUUAAAUUGCAGUCACUCGAUUUCUGACCUCCUUUUCAACACUGUUAUCUGCUUUAUACUUUAUAUGUACUUUAAAAAAGGCAGAAGAGAAAGGUGAGUUACAUGGACAGAGAUUAAGAAGUGUAAUGAGAUAGAAAGGGGUUUUUUUCUUUCCUAAAUUGAAUCUUUCAGGGCCAGGUCGAGUUGUUCAUAGAAAAAAAGGUAAAAUUGUAAAAAAGUAAGCUUUCAAUAUAAAAAUGACUCAAUUUGUUCCCAUUUAUUUAAUUUGCAUCAUGAUUUUGCAAUGGAUUUGUCACCGCAGCCUGAAGAAAUACACGCGUGUCUGCUUUAAUGACUUUUUUUUCGAAAGCUAUUAUUAUUUAUGAGAAAAUAAAUAGAAUUCAUGUACGCGAGCCUAAUCAGACGUAUCUAUAUUGGGCUGCUUAUUUCUUUUUGAUUGCAAAUCAUUCGAUCACACCGGAAUCUUCACUUCUUCUUUCUCUAUUUUUUUUUUUUGAUUCCUUAUUUUUUAAUU